rnacentral:tmRNA from 1 species
GUGCUAGUGUGAAGGGGUUCACAUGCUGUGAACUAGGUGGCUCACACCAGUGUUUCGGACAGCGGUUCGAUUCCGCUCAGCNNNNNNNNNNCUUCGUAACAGCGAACAACAUCGUUCGUUUCUCCCGCCAGGCCGCCCCUGUUGCUGCCUGAGCCCAAGGGAGAUGGGGCGAGGUCAGCCUUAUCAACAAAAUGACCCAUGGGGGCUGAGAGGCCCC